UCGAGAAUCUUCGGCAAUGGGCGCAAGCCUGACCGAGCGACGCCGCGUGGAGGACGAAGGCCUUCGGGUUGUAAACUCCUGUCGAGGGGAAGGAAGGGGCCCUCGGGCCCUUGACCGCUCCCUGGAGGAAGCACGGGCUAAGUUCGUGCCAGCAGCCGCGGUAAGACGAACCGUGCGAACGUUAUUCGGAAUCACUGGGCUUAAAGCGCGUGUAGGCGGGGCGGUGCGUCGGUCGCUGAAAUCCCCCGGCUCAACCGGGGAAGGGGCGCCGAGACGACCGCCCUGGAGCGACGUAGGGGGGACUGGAACUUCCGGUGGAGCGGUGAAAUGCGUUGAGAUCGGAAGGAACGCCCGUGGCGAAAGCGAGUCCCUGGACGUCGGCUGACGCUGAGACGCGAAAGCCAGGGGAGCGGAACGGGAUUAGAUACCCCGGUAGUCCUGGCCGUAAACGAUGGGCACGUGGGUAGGGGGCUCGCCGAUGGGCUCCCUGCCGUAGGGAAACCGUGAACGUG
rnacentral:rRNA from 1 species